rnacentral:rRNA from 1 species
UACAGAGGUCUCAAGCGUUGUUCGGAUUCAUUGGGCGUAAAGGGCGCGUAGGCGGCGCGGGUAGUCAUCGGUGAAAGUUCAGGGCUCAACUCUGAAUCGGCCGGUGAUACUCCCGUGCUCGAGCACUGUAGAGGCAGGUGGAAUUCCGGGUGUAGCGGUGGAAUGCGUAGAGAUCCGGAAGAACACCGGUGGCGAAGGCGGCCUGCUGGGCAGUAGCUGACGCUGAUGCGCGACAGCGUGGGGAGCAAACAGG